CAGUAGCCGCGGUAAUUCGAAGGGGGCUAGCGUUGUUCGGAUUUACUGGGCGUAAAGCGCACGUAGGCGGAUCGAUCAGUCAGGGGUGAAAUCCCAGAGCUCAACUCUGGAACUGCCUUUGAUACUGUCGAUCUGGAGUAUGGAAGAGGUGAGUGGAAUUCCGAGUGUAGAGGUGAAAUUCGUAGAUAUUCGGAGGAACACCAGUGGCGAAGGCGGCUCACUGGUCCAUUACUGACGCUGUGGUGCGAAAGCGUGGGGAGCAAACAGGAUUAGAGACCCGAGUAGUCCCUGUCUCUUAUAC
rnacentral:rRNA from 1 species